rnacentral:rRNA from 1 species
UACGUAGGGCGCAAGCGUUAUCCGGAAUUAUUGGGCGUAAAGAGCUCGUAGGCGGUUUGUCGCGUCUGCCGUGAAAGUCCGGGGCUCAACUCCGGAUCUGCGGUGGGUACGGGCAGACUAGAGUGAUGUAGGGGAGACUGGAAUUCCUGGUGUAGCGGUGAAAUGCGCAGAUAUCAGGAGGAACACCGGUGGCGAAGGCGGGUCUCUGGGGCCGAUACUGACGCUGAGGAGCGAAAGCGUGGGGGAGCGAACAGG